rnacentral:lncRNA from 1 species
UCAAGAUAAACAAACCCAAAUUAGCUUAAACAAACUUUAAGAGGCUGUUUGUUUUUGCUUAAAACGUCUGAAAGGAGCUUAUGUCUGCAGGCGGGCAGACAUAAGACCUUGAAGACUGUUUGUUUUUUUUUUUAAAAAAAAAAGAAGAUCUGAAAAAUGCUUUUAUUAGCUUAAAAAAAGCUAACAUCUAACAUCUUCACAACCCAUCAGAUCUUCAAAUCUUCCUCCUCUCUCUCUCCCUCUUUAAAACCCAGCACCACCACCACCUACACCUUCAACCCACCUCCACCAUCACCUUCAACCCACCACCACAUCCACAAUUCACCGCGCAAACAACCACCACCCCAGCAACGACCACUCAAACCCUCCGGAAAAACGAAUCUGGCCGGAAAAAGGUAUUUGGCCGGAAAAACGAUUUUGUUUAUGCAGCAAUAUCUGCCGAGCAUUACUGUGUCGUGACCCCGAAGAUGAUAAGAAGGGCGUUUCUUCAAACAGAGGAUGGAUUCACUGCUCUUGUAUUGAGUCAUUUAAUGCACGCCCUAGCAUUGCAAUCGUUGGAUCGUGUUGCUUAGUUGGAGUAAUAUAUCAGCAAACUCUCUUUAUUGCAAAUCUUGGAGAUAUCGUUGCCAUGAAGCAUGGGGUCUGGAGGGUCAAAGGCAUUAUUCAGGUAAUUAUUGAAGGAACUUGGGAGCUUGCUGUCUGAUGCUGCUGGAGUGGGUGUGGUCAUAAUAAACAGUUUCUUUGAUUUGGUUUCGAUACAUUAUACAUUUAAACUCUUAUGCUUCCGCUCAGUACUUUGGUUUGGUUUAACUUUCAAACGAUACAUUUCUUUCAAUUGGGUAUUUAAAUACAUUAUUACUUGUGUUU